UUGGUUCGUGAUGAAAAAAAUCAGUUUCAGAUCUGAUUCAUUCCAUCACCAACAACUAGCGAGCGACACCUUUAAAGAAAGCAAUCACCUACCCGAUGGGUGUGCGGAACCAAAAUCCCAGCUAGCGGUCCGUGAGCCAUGAGAGAAGCCAAAUGCGAAGCCAAGCCAUUAAUAUUUAUUCGCUGCUGUUCAUUCCUUUCUCUCGCCUACUGAUGCCGGCAGCUAGAAGCACGCAUUCCGAUUACCACAGAAAAACAAGUAGAAGAAAAUGAAAAUUUCCAAGCUAAGAAAGUUCUAGCAUGCAAUGUUUUUCUCUCUGUGAAUUAAAGAAAGUGGACUGUGUGACAGCAGGAUGAGGACUGAGGGCCACCGCCAUGCUCAGAGGCGACACAGCAUCCGUUCCCAGGGCCCACUGGAUUAAACCGAGCAUGAACGUGGGGAGCCAGGUCCCUAAAGGACACACACAGCUUUCAGUCAGAGGACUCCGAGGCUGCAGGCCGGGUGGCAUCCAGCAGAAGACAGGAAGACCACGAGAUUACACCAUGCCUCAAAUGCACAGAUGUCCGGGAAUGGGACAAGCUAAGUGACCAGGCACCAGAGCUCGGGGGCCUUCCGCGCAUCACACUCUCUGCAGUUCCUUCUCUGUCUCUGUGCCGCCUGCCUGCCAGCCUAUCACACCAUAUGAUAUAAAGCUACCUAGGAGCCCCCCAGAUUUUGUAAGUUGAACACACACUGCCCAGCUGUUGCCAGCUUCUCAUCGGACAGUGCUUACCAGCUGUUUGGAAAUUCAGUGCUUCCUCCGGAACCAAACAAAAGCCCGAGAGCUGUAAACAGCGAGGAGCUCCUGGUCCCCGGUACAGAACUCAGCGCAGCUCUUCUCCACACCGCACACACACCCCGAAGUCCAGGGGAGCCCGGCACAGCAGGGUUCACACAUCUACAGGGACAGGCGACUUCCAGAAGCUGGGACCCUGGGUCUCGGGGAGAACUCCAACCUCCCCCACAAAAAGAAAGUUGUAUUAGGAUGGCUGAUGGAUGAAAAGCAGGCAGGAAAUAAUGGAGGCCAGAUCGCUGGAAUGUACAAAAAGUGGGCCUCUUCACAUUCUUCUGGGCAAGUGACAAACAAAGGCAAUGACAUUUACACCCGUUUCCAGCUUCUGAACUUCAUGACUGUCCAAAGUUAUCGGUCCUCAAGGCUGAGGUAAUAUUUGUACCAGUGCCCUCUGUUGGACAGAGAUUGAAUUCCAUUCUAAUUUCUAAUUUUUCUUACAGGCCAAUUUAAGUAAAUCAGAAAAGUUUGGGCUGAGCUGUAGUUCAGCAGUGUCCCAAACAUCUGUACAGAGCCAAAGUUCUAGAAAACUGCAUUUUCCCCAUAUUGACACAUAGGGUUGCUAAUGGCCAUUGUGAUUCUGAAACUGGUGCAUUCCACUCUGUGUAAGAGGUUAGUUACACAAAAGGCUAGGCAGUGAUUCCCAAGGCCCUCACUCCUCCCCUGCUCUCCUCCUCCUUCUCCUGUCUCUUCUUACUGCUUUUCCCCUUCUCCCCAUUCCUCUUCCUCUUUCCUCUCCUCCUCUCCCUCCUCUUCCUUUUUCUCUAGCUCCUUCUCUUUCUUCCUCUUUCCCUUCCCCUUCCCCUUCCCAUUCUCCUUCUUUUUGAUAGCAUGGUAUUCAAGUAAAAUCUCAAAUUAGGAUUGUUUGAAGCAAUGGCUCAUUCAGCCGUGAGGGCCACCCCUGUAGCAUCUUCUCAGAAAACAAAACAAACAACAACAACAAAAACAAAUACACUAUGGGAAGCCCAGUUUGGAAAAACUCACUCCAAGGUGUGUCUGUGUUUAAAGAAACAUUAAGAUUUUCUUUCUUUCCCAGUUUAGAAAUACUUUUUUAAUUAACCGAUUUCCAAAAUGUGAAGUGUUUUUAUCUCUAAAACUUAUGAUGCCAAUUUCAUUGUAUCCACAGACAACAAUUCUGCAAACUUUUAUCACUUAGUGAUUCAUAUUACAAUAUGUAGUACUUCAGUCAUCAAAGGAAAUAGGAACAUUCUAGGUGUAGAAAUUAGAGAAAGAUAAAUUUGUUCACACAAACUGGUCUUUGGGAAUAUUUUCUACCAUAUCCACCGAGUGGGAUUUGUUACUUGUUUGGUGAUAUAGCCCAUUAGCACCUUUGUAAACUUAGAGAUUAUAUUAUUUUAUUGUUUACCAAUAGCAUACCUAUCUCACUGGAAAGAUCUACUAUAAGGAAAAACCCAAACACUCAACAAGUUAAAGAACUAAUUUAUAAUCAAAGAGAGAGGACCAUCCCAGAGCGUUCUCUAUAGCUGCCUGCCUCAUCAGUAUGAGACAGUACAUUCCGCCUCCUUGGAGACCACAUAGUCAAGACUGCCGCGGUGCACUCUGUCUAGACACUGCUCCUCAGGAGGUGUCCAUCCAGGACUGCAUUUGAGCUGCUUUACCCUGUCAAACAACUGGGAUCAUCCAGGGAGCAAUGGCCUCUCCCAGUCCUCUGAAACUGUGCUCAGCAGGAGAGCUUCUGGGUAUCUUGGAUGAUAGAGAAACGUGUUUCUCCAUGGAGAAGAAAGCCAGUAAUCCCCAGAUUAGAGGGUUAGCUGACACUUUCCAGGCUGGCCCACCCUCGGGGGUAGUAAUACUGCUUCCCAUAAACUUUGCUGCUGUUUUUAUCAUGUCUGUUAUUUCAACUUGAUGGAGGUCUGGCUAUGACUUUGAGUGAGAUAACUGAGCGUGCCAGCAGACCACCCACAGCAAAAUCGACCCCUGGCUUCCCAGUGUUUGGGGCCCUUGGGCUGGGAAGCACAGUCACCCUUGUGCUGGCCUUCACUCCUUCUGUCCUCUUGGAUCCUUCCCAUGUGGAAAACAGAGAAGGUGGAGUGUGGCAAAAUUCUCUUUGGGGAUGUUCUUCCUUUGUGUGCUAGAGUCUCUUCUUUUUCCAUGGUCCUUUUCUUGUGGAUCAAGAACCACAUGCUACUAUUUCCAAGUGAUUGGAAGAGACACAUACAUCAUAGUUUGCCCUAAAAUAUAGUUGACCAAAGAUUAUAACUUUAGCUGAUAUAUCAUAGAUUGGUUGAAUUAUAGUUUUAGAAAGCACUUAAAGAUCAUCUAGUCCAAUGCCCUCACUUUAGAGGGAAAGAAACAGAAGACCAAAUCAGGGUUCAUUUUGAGGGGCUCCCGAACCUCACCUGAUCCAGUAGAGGUCUGUGGGCCCCCGGGCUGAGCUCUGGAGCGAGUGAGUGACUGUGUGUGGCUGUAACCAUCACUGACAUGUGGAAAACAGAGGUUUAAGUAAGUACUUAGCGUAUUAGAUCCCAGGCUUAUCUGUCGUUAGCUUGAAGAUAGUAGUCAAAUCUCUCUCUGUCCCUUCUCACCUGAGCCAAAGGAAAAUACUGGAAACAGAUUCUAAGGAGACUUGACUAUCUCAUAUUUACUUAGUAACUUCGUAGUUUGUUUAUUGUGGAUUAACCCUUUGCCAAACUAAAUAGAAAUGAUGUUUUCAGCCCUUUGGCAAGAUUCUGUUAAGUAGAUGCUUAUAUGUAAACAUUUUCCUUUUUCAAAAUGUAUGGGAAAGUUAAUAAGUGACUCUUGAUUAUCUUUCAAAUCAAAGGUUUUCCUGAUAUAAUUUCUACAUAAUUUUCUGAAGUUUCCAAAUAGGGUAGAGCUGAAAUCCCCAGGGCAAUUUCUGUCCAUGGAUAAACUGGAUAAGCCUGGACUUCCCAAGUGAUGUCACCAUGAAAGCCUCAUAAUCAAGAGCUUCAAGACCAGGCCAGCACAUCCAGGAAUGCCUGGGAGAACAAGAGAGAUCUUUGCUAGAUGUCCACUGGGAAGAAUGUAGCACACUUUUUUUGGUUAAAUACUUCUCAUUACAUAUUGAAAAUGUGUCUGAAAAUCUGAAAAGAACAUUAGAAAAACUACCUAGCAAGAACUUCAAAGUGUGUGUGUGUGUGUGUGUGUGUGUGUGCUUUGAGACAGGCGAGCCUUGACCCCACAUAAGCAAUUCUCCUGCCUCGGUCUCCAGGAUGCUGGAAUUAUGAGGAUGUGCUACCAUUACCAGGUUUCAAAUUAUGUUUUUAAGUGACAAAAACAAGUUACAUAAUAAUUUGGAUUGCAAAAUCCUACUUUGGUUAAAAGAAACAGUAAAAAGAAAAAAUAACCUAGGAUUUUGGGAAGAGUGAGAGAUGGGAAGAAGAGCCAGACAGACAUACAGAGAGACAGAGAGAGGGAGGAGAGGAGGGAGGAGAUAUUCCUAAACUUCAAAAAUAUCUGGGAAAAAACCUAUCCAACUGUUGGAUGAG